rnacentral:rRNA from 1 species
GCUUAAUACAUGCAAGUCGAGCGGCAGCGCGGGGGCAACCCUGGCGGCGAGCGGCGAACGGGUGAGUAAUACAUCGGAACGUGUCCAGUAGCGGGGGAUAACCCGGGGAAACCUGAGCUAAUACCCCAUAACAUGGCUUGGUCUUCGGACCGAGUCAUCAAACGAUGGCCUCUGCUUGCAAGCUAUCGCUGGAAGAUGAGCCCACAUCCUAUCACGCUUGUUGGUGGGGUAAUGGCCUACCAAGGCGACGACGGGUAGCCGGCCUGAGAGGGUGUCCGGCCACACUGGAACUGAGACACGGUCCAGACUCCUACGGGAGGCAGCAGUGGGGAAUUUUUCGCAAUGGGCGAAAGCCUGACGAAGCAACGCCGCGUGUAGGAUGAAGGCCCUAGCGGUCGUAAACUACUGUCUAGCGGGACGAAAGUAUUCGGAGUGAAUAAUUCCGGAUAUUGACUGUACCGCUGGAGGAAGCUCCGGCUAACUCCGUGCCAGCAGCCGCGGUAAUACGGAGGGAGCAAGCGUUACUCGGAAUUAUUGGGCGUAAAGGGCGCGUAGGCGAUUUGGCAAGUCUUGUGUGAAAGCCCAUAGCUUAACUAUGGAAGUGCACAAGAUACUGCUGAAUUUGAGUUCAGGAGAGGAAGGCAGAAUUCCUGGUGUAGCGGUGAAAUGCGUAGAUAUCAGGAGGAAUACCAGUGGCGAAGGCGGCCUUCUGGACUGACACUGACGCUGAGGCGCGAAAGCUAGGGGAGCAAACGGGAUUAGAUACCCCGGUAGUCCUAGCCGUAAACGAUGUACACUUGGUGUGAGCCCUUUUUGGGUUCGUGCCGCAGUAACGCAGUAAGUGUACCGCCUGGGGAGUACGGUCGCAAGGCUAAAACUCAAAGGAAUUGACGGGGGCCCGCACAAGCGGCGGAGCAUGUGGAUUAAUUCGAUGCAACGCGAAGAACCUUACCUGGGUUUGACAUACACCGGAAAGCCGUGGAGACAUGGCCUCCGCAAGGCCGGUGUACAGGUGGUGCAUGGCUGUCGUCAGCUCGUGUCGUGAGAUGUUGGGUUAAGUCCCGCAACGAGCGCAACCCUCGUCCCAUGUUGCCAGCGGGUUAUGCCGGGGACUCAUGGGAGACUGCCGGGGUCAACUCGGAGGAAGGUGGGGACGACGUCAAGUCAUCAUGCCCCUUAUGUCCAGGGCUUCACACAUGCUACAAUGGCCGGUACAAAGGGCUGCUAAGCCGUAAGGUGGAGCGAAUCCCACAAAGCCGGUCUCAGUUCGGAUCGGGGUCUGCAACUCGACCCCGUGAAGUCGGAGUCGCUAGUAAUCGCAGAUCAGCAACGCUGCGGUGAAUACGUUCCCGGGCCUUGUACACACCGCCCGUCACA